ACUGACCCUUGGUGUCCCCUCCCUGCCUGUGGCUGACCCCUGGGAGUCCCCUCCCUGCCCAGGGCCGCUGACCACAAGCCCUGACUGGGGCCCCACGGGCACGGAGGGCUCUUGUGCCCGUCCCUGGCUUCACAGGGGAGGGAAGGAGGUUUUGCAGGACACACUCACAUGGGGGCCAGCAGUGCUCCCUGCUUAGAACGGCAGUUGGUGACAGUUAGGGGUCUGUGUUCCCAAUGCUGGCUCCUCCUCCCUGGUACUUCCCACAGGAAAUGAAGGAGGCCACUCAGGUCUCCUCCCAGGACAUCAAGCAGAUAGACUUGGACAUGAACAGAACCUUCCGCAACCACAUCAUGUUCUGGGACCACUUAUAGGGUCAGGACGAGGAACAGAUGUGCACCAGCAUUUACACGCCCAAGUGGUUCCUUCAGUGUUUCAUCAAUUGAGUGAAGCCACCCAAGGACACCUGCUCCCUGACCUGCUCCCUGACCUCGGGAAGGGCCGAGCUCAGCCCCACCCUCCAGACAAGCCAGGCCUGACCUCGGGGCCCUAGGGCUGCGGCUGGCAGCCCAGAUCCAUCCUGGAGAAGCCCAGAGGGCUCCUUGAGAAGGUUCUGGGGGAUGCUGUCUCUGCCUCAGUUCCCCCAGUAAGGCCAGGUCAGCCUGGGGUGUGGACAAGGCCUCGGCCUAUUCUGCCGCCAGCCUGGAGUCCUCUCCAGGUGAGUAGCCACCAAGUGGGGGCAGAGUCUGUUACCUCCCAGGUUUUCGGGUGGUGCUGGCCAGGGUUGGAACCUGGAGUGGCCUGGAGCCCUGAUCUCCUGGGCGGAGUGCACGCACAGGAGGGGCUGUAGGGCCUCAUCUUAUGCAGACGGGGCAGCAGGGGCUGUGGGCAGAUGGCAGUCCAUAGUCAGAGCUGAGACCCCCAGUGGCCCUGCUCAGGCCGCUCCUCCCACCCCGCUGUCCCCUAGGCCCCCUUCUCGCUCCCCCUGAAGCUCAGGGACUCCUACAUCCUGGACGGGGAGCGCAUGCUCACAGCCGUGGCUUACACCAUCCUCAAGGUGCACAGCAGUAAGUGAGCCCCUGGGAGCCCAGGUGUGCCCGGGGAGAGAGGAAGGCAGGGGUGUCACCCCACUGCUCUGAGCAGCACCCAGG
rnacentral:lncRNA from 1 species